rnacentral:rRNA from 1 species
AUGAGCUAGAAUGUGCGAGGGCUGAACUCGCCAGCCAGGAGAGCCACGGCCUGUGAGGUUGUGAACGUGCAUAGGCUGGUCGUGAUGUGCCUCCAGGAUACCAAAAUAGAAACAUGGUCAUUGGCGUUAGUAAAAGAAAUAGGAGGUAGCCGUUUAGACGCCGCUGCAGUCCUGCCAGCGGACAGCACGCGAGGCAGAGCUAUGAUCUUGUGGGACUCCUCCAAGAUCUGUUGGGGAACGUAG